AACGAACGCUGGCGGCAGGCUUAACACAUGCAAGUCGAGCGCCCCGCAAGGGGAGCGGCAGACGGGUGAGUAACGCGUGGGAAUCUACCCAUCUCUACGGAAUAACGCAUGGAAACGUGUGCUAAUACCGUAUACGUCCUUCGGGAGAGAGAUUUAUCGGAGAUGGAUGAGCCCGCGUUGGAUUAGCUAGUUGGUGGGGUAAAGGCCUACCAAGGCGACGAUCCAUAGCUGGUCUGAGAGGAUGAUCAGCCACACUGGGACUGAGACACGGCCCAGACUCCUACGGGAGGCAGCAGUGGGGAAUAUUGGACAAUGGGCGCAAGCCUGAUCCAGCCAUGCCGCGUGAGUGAUGAAGGCCCUAGGGUUGUAAAGCUCUUUCACCGGUGGAGAUAAUGACGGUAACCGGAGAAGAAGCCCCGGCUAACUUCGUGCCAGCCGCCGCAGUAAUAC
rnacentral:rRNA from 1 species